UCACCUGCAACGGCCCAACGCAGCUCAAAAGCCAAAGUGUCAUCCAGGACUUCACAGUUUAGCUUCGACUGCAAGCAAACGGUCAUUUCAUGCACAUACUCAAGAGAAACGAUACUAUGUUGAUCGUUAUGCUGAUGAGUUCGUAUAUCUAAUAAGAUUAACACAUUUUUUUUUUACACAGAAAGAAAAAAGCUUGUUUAUUCAACAUACACAGUAUAAUAUACACAGGUGGUAAAGACAUGUAAAAGGCAUUAUAAGUAUCGUGCAUGAUGUGAAGAAUAAAGAUAUCAUCUUUGUUAUCUAUGAAGGAAAACUGCGUUAAGGCAAGAAAAUUAUUUCCAACGAAAGACGACCGAGCGAAUGAGAUAACUAGGGAAAAAAGAAGAAGAAGAAAAAAAAAGAAGGAGAAGCAGUUCUCUUCAGGCACAGCGUAAUAGCGUUUUACAGAGCGUUUUGUUGUUAUGGACUUACCUGCGGU